GCAAUAUUUUUUUAGAACAUAUUGACAAUUACAUCAAAGUGGGUGUUUAAGAAGGAAGGAUGUGAAAUGUUAUAGGAUGAAACACCUUUUCAAAGGAAUUUAUUGGUGUAUAAACUUGACCAAUUUACUCACAAAUUUCGGACUUUUAUGAUAUGUUUGCGGGUGACUUGGUCCAGUUAACACACCAUUAAAUUCCUUUAAAAAGGUGUUUAAUCCUUAUAAUUCUUUUAAAUUGGAGAUAGGAAAUAUAUUAUUUCACACUCGCUACCUCUAUUACACAUAAAUUGUAUAUUUAUGUCAUUGAAUAUGCCUGGCGCAUGAAUAUAUUUGUUGGUUAACCCAAAAACAUGUACUCAAUGAAAUUUGCUAUCUGAUAAAAAAUUAAACUGCAAAAACUCUAAUUAUCAUUGAAACGAAUGUUUUUGUGUAUUAUUUUAUUUAACGAUUAACUUCCAUUGAAAAUAAAAAAAAAGAAUGUCUUUGUUACUAUUGCUGCCAUCUUGUUUACAUUGGUUAUGAAAAGAAGUUCAGUCAACGUCGUCUUUCGAAAAAUGACCAACGUUAAGAUCAACUAACGGAAGUCCUCUCAACCAAUCAUAUCAACAUAUUCCCUAAUAUGCAAAUCCUAUAAGAAUUAUUAAAUUGUAACAAAAAAAGGAGGCUAAUUGCCCUGCAAAUUGUCACAUAAAAGUUGUGGCAAAAUGCAGACACAGCCUACUGUUAUUAAAGACAAAUCAUAAGAUUUUGUUAAGAAUUUAUUCUCAGGCCACAUUUUUAUUUUAAUUCUUAUCCAAUUUAUCUCUUUUUCUUUUUUGUUAAUUGAUACCUUAUAUACAAGGACUGUGAUGGCUUUCUUUGUACAUAGUUCUAUGCAUCCCCAAUAUUAAAUUUCAGAUUCUUUAUACACCUUAAAGGGGCACUAGCUGUCAAAUUCAUGUUCACCAAAUUCUCAUAUUUUAUCUAUAACAUUUAAUCCAAACUAUGAAAUGUAUGUUUUUUGAUUGAGUUAAGCCUUCCAAUUGAUAUUUUAUCGUGUUUUUCUAUGUUUUUUUAUGUUAUACUAUUGUUUCAGAAAAAGGGAGAAGGUUUGGUACUGUUAAAACGUUUAAUCCCACUGCAAGUGUUUGCACCUGUCCUGAGUCAGGAAGCUGAUGUACAGUAGUUGUUGUUUAUUUAUGUAAUUUAUUAGUGUUUCUCGUUUUUUGUUUUUUAAUAUAGAUUAGACUGUUGGUUUUCCUGUUUGAAUGGAUUAACACUAGUAAUUUUGGGGCCCUUUAUAGCUUGUUGUUCGGUGCGAGCCAAGGCUCCGUGUUGAAGGCAGUACAUUGACCUAUAAUGGUUUACUUUUAUAAAUUGUUAUUUUGAUGGAGAGUUGUCUCAUUGGCACUCACUCCACAUCUUCCUAUAUCUAUGAAAGUCUAGAAUAAAGAAUUAACAGCGCACCGGCAUGAAAAUAUGUAGCUUCGUUUCGUGCGUAAUUUAGUCAAGACACCAUCUUAUUAUUUAUUGAGUUGACCUCUUAAGUCAUUUGAUGACCAUAUAAGCGAUGUAAAAAUAAAUAAAGAUAUAAAUAGAUUAGCAAACUCGUGCUGUUGGAUUAUUCUAAGUCUAUUUAAUUUCAUAUUAUAGAUGAAAAAUAAAUGUUUAUC
rnacentral:lncRNA from 1 species